rnacentral:rRNA from 1 species
UACAGAGGGUGCGAGCGUUGUUCGGAAUUACUGGGCGUAAAGCGCGCGCAGGCGGCCUUUUAAGUCUCGUGGUGAAAUGCCGGGGCUCAACCCCGUGCCCGCCGGAGAUACUGGGAGGCUGGAGACAUGUAGAGGCAAGCGGAAUUCCGGGUGUAGCGGUGGAAUGCGUAGAGAUCCGGAGGAACACCGGUGGCGAAGGCGGUUCUCUGGGCAUGUCCUGACGCUGAGGAGCGAAAGUGUGGGGAGCGAACAGG